rnacentral:rRNA from 1 species
AGUGAACGCUGGCGGUAGGCCUAACACAUGCAAGUCGAACGGCAGCACAGUAAGAGCUUGCUCUUACGGGUGGCGAGUGGCGGACGGGUGAGGAAUACAUCGGAAUCUACUUUUUCGUGGGGGAUACGUAGGGAAACUUACGCUAAUACCGCAUACGACCUACGGGUGAAAGCAGGGGAUCUUCGGACCUUGCGCGAUUGAAUGAGCCGAUGUCGGAUUAGCUAGUUGGCGGGGUAAAGGCCCACCAAGGCGACGAUCCGUAGCUGGUCUGAGAGGAUGAUCCGCCACACUGGAACUGAGACACGGUCCAGACUCCUACGGGAGGCAGCAGUGGGGAAUAUUGGACAAUGGGCGCAAGCCUGAUCCAGCCAUACCGCGUGGGUGAAGAAGGCCUUCGGGUUGUAAAGCCCUUUUGUUGGGAAAGAAAAGCAGCAGGUUAAUACCCCGCUGUUCUGACGGUACCCAAAGAAUAAGCACCGGCUAACUUCGUG